rnacentral:rRNA from 1 species
AUUGAACGCUGGCGGCAUGCCUUACACAUGCAAGUCGAACGGCAGCACGGGAGCAAUCCUGGUGGCGAGUGGCGAACGGGUGAGUAAUACAUCGGAACGUGCCCAGUAGUGGGGGAUAACCCGGCGAAAGCCGGACUAAUACCGCAUACGACCUACGGGUGAAAGCAGGGGAUCGCAAGACCUUGCGCUAUCGGAGCGGCCGAUGUCAGAUUAGCUUGNGGCGGGGUAAAAGCCCACCAAGGCGACGAUCUGUAGCUGGUCUGAGAGGACGACCAGCCACACUGGGACUGAGACACGGCCCAGACUCCUACGGGAGGCAGCAGUGGGGAAUUUUGGACAAUGGGCGCAAGCCUGAUCCAGCCAUGCCGCGUGCGGGAAGAAGGCCUCGGUUGUAA